rnacentral:rRNA from 1 species
ACGAACGCUGGCGGCAGGCUUAACACAUGCAAGUCGAGCGCCCCGCAAGGGGAGCGGCAGACGGGUGAGUAACGCGUGGGAAUCUACCCAUCUCUACGGAACAACCCAGGGAAACUUGGACUAAUACCGUAUACGCCCUUCGGGGGAAAGAUUUAUCGGAGAUGGAUGAGCCCGCGUUGGAUUAGCUAGUUGGUGGGGUAAAGGCCUACCAAGGCGACGAUCCAUAGCUGGUCUGAGAGGAUGAUCAGCCACACUGGGACUGAGACACGGCCCAGACUCCUACGGGAGGCAGCAGUGGGGAAUAUUGGACAAUGGGCGAAAGCCUGAUCCAGCCAUGCCGCGUGAGUGAUGAAGGCCCUAGGGUUGUAAAGCUCUUUCGGUGGUGACGAUGAUGACGGUAACCACAGAAGAAGCCCCGGCUAACUCCGU